CACGGGGGGCGCAAGCGUUGUUCGGAAUCACUGGGCGUAAAGGGCGUGUAGGCGGUCAAGUAAGUGGAAUGUGAAAGCCCCCGGCUUACCCGGGGAUCUGCAUCCCAAACUGCUUGGCUUGAGUACGGGAGAGGAUGGAGGAAUUCCUGGUGUAGCGGUGAAAUGCGUAGAUAUCAGGAGGAACACCCGUGGCGAAAGCGGCUCUCUGGGACGGUACUGACGCUGAGACGCGAAAGCGUGGGGAGCAAACAGG
rnacentral:rRNA from 1 species